rnacentral:rRNA from 1 species
UUUAAAGAGAGUUUGAUCCUGGCUCAGGACGAACGCUGGCGGCGUGCCUAAUACAUGCAAGUCGAACGAACGGAGGAAGAGCUUGCUCUUCCAAAGUUAGUGGCGGACGGGUGAGUAACACGUGGGCAACCUGCCUGUAAGUUGGGGAUAACUCCGGGAAACCGGGGCUAAUACCGAAUGAUAAAGUGUGGCGCAUGCCACGCUUUUGAAAGAUGGUUUCGGCUAUCGCUUACAGAUGGGCCCGCGGUGCAUUAGCUAGUUGGUAGGGUAAUGGCCUACCAAGGCAACGAUGCAUAGCCGACCUGAGAGGGUGAUCGGCCACACUGGGACUGAGACACGGCCCAGACUCCUACGGGAGGCAGCAGUAGGGAAUCUUCCGCAAUGGACGAAAGUCUGACGGAGCAACGCCGCGUGUAUGAAGAAGGUUUUCGGAUCGUAAAGUACUGUUGUUAGAGAAGAACAAGGAUAAGAGUAACUGCUUGUCCCUUGACGGUAUCUAACCAGAAAGCCACGGCUAACUACGUGCCAGCAGCCGCGGUAAUACGUAGGUGGCAAGCGUUGUCCGGAUUUAUUGGGCGUAAAGCGCGCGCAGGCGGUCUUUUAAGUCUGAUGUGAAAGCCCCCGGCUUAACCGGGGAGGGUCAUUGGAAACUGGAAGACUGGAGUGCAGAAGAGGAGAGUGGAAUUCCACGUGUAGCGGUGAAAUGCGUAGAUAUGUGGAG